rnacentral:tRNA from 1 species
GCCUGACUGGCUCAGUCAGUAGAGCACACAACUUUCCAUCUCAUGGUCAUGAGUUCAAGUCCCAUGUUGGGCA